rnacentral:rRNA from 1 species
GCCGGUGACCAUACCCAAGUGGACACACCCGUUCCCAUUCCGAACACGGCCGUUAAGCACUUGGGGCCCAUGAUAGUGCGAAUAGCGCGAAAGUAGGUUAUCGCCGGCU